ACUUUGUUUAUCUGUAGCUGUGAAAACCUUUGAAGGAUCUUACCUGAACAUCCCAUCGCUCUGGAUCAUUGUCACUUGAAUACACUUCAUCGUCAAUGCUUGCAAUAUCAGCGCUCCUCAAAGUUUGUCAAGACAUCAUAUGCCGCUGGGCCAUCAAUCUUAGAAUGCAAAUCAUGCCAUGGUUCUCUUGGCCCUUGGGCAUCAAGUACCUGCAAAUACAAGAUGCGUCAAUUACAGGAACUAUUUUCAUGUGUAUAAACCACAUACAGUGAUACAGGCACAUGAACAAUAGGACAAAGUAAUCUCACCGCAAAGUUUGGGUUAUAAUAGUCGUCCUUGUGCAAUGUCUGGAGAGACCGAAAAAGAGGAUGAGUAGGUGUAUCAUAUCGUCCACCGCAUAAAUCAAGGCCUCCAACAAAAGCAACUAUUUUCCUUUUAUGGUUGCCGGCAUCAGCAUCCAGAAUCACUGUUUUCUGAUGAUGUGUAAAAAUGGUUCCGGUCUCCUGGUUCAAUUUUCAACUGUUAACAUCAUUACAUGGUCCACAAGAACAGCUAUUUUGACUAAAAAGAUGUUAGCUGGUGACAUGUGUCUAUAUGAAGCAAAUUAUGGCAUUCAGAGGAGACAAAGCUUACUGAAGAAAACAAAUUGUAAAUAAACAACCUGCUGCUUAACCCAGCUGUGCCUUUUCCCAGCAGAACGCGGGCAGAGCAGUAUCUGAACUGAAGAAUGCUUGAAAAAUCUACGGGUCUCCUCAUCCCGUGUGCCCAUGUAACCUUCCUAUAGAGAAAACUCUGACAACAAGUCAAGCUGUAUUUGCAUGAAUAUAUUAUUCACAGGUUUUCAGAGAUCAA